UACGUAGGGUGCAAGCGUUAAUCGGAAUUACUGGGCGUAAAGCGUGCGCAGGCGGUGAUGUAAGACAGAUGUGAAAUCCCCGGGCUUAACCUGGGACCUGCAUUUGUGACUGCAUUGCUGGAGUGCGGCAGAGGGGGAUGGAAUUCCGCGUGUAGCAGUGAAAUGCGUAGAUAUGCGGAGGAACACCGAUGGCGAAGGCAAUCCCCUGGGCCUGCACUGACGCUCAUGCACGAAAGCGUGGGGAGCAAACAGG
rnacentral:rRNA from 1 species